rnacentral:rRNA from 1 species
GAUGAACGCUGGCGGCGUGCCUAAUACAUGCAAGUCGAGCGAACAGAUAAGGAGCUUGCUCCUUUGAAGUUAGCGGCGGACGGGUGAGUAACACGUGGGUAACCUACCUAUAAGACUGGGAUAACUUCGGGAAACCGGAGCUAAUACCGGAUAACAUUUAGAACCGCAUGGUCCUAAAGUGAAAGAUGGUUUUGCUAUCACUUAUAGAUGGACCCGCGCCGUAUUAGCUAGUUGGUAAGGUAACGGCUUACCAAGGCGACGAUACGUAGCCGACCUGAGAGGGUGAUCGGCCACACUGGAACUGAGACACGGUCCAGACUCCUACGGGAGGCAGCAGUAGGGAAUCUUCCGCAAUGGGCGAAAGCCUGACGGAGCAACGCCGCGUGAGUGAUGAAGGGUUUCGGCUCGUAAAACUCUGUUAUUAGGGAAGAACAAAUGUGUAAGUAACUGUGCACAUCUUGACGGUACCUAAUCAGAAAGCCACGGCUAACUACGUGCCAGCAGCCGCGGUAAUACGUAGGUGGCAAGCGUUAUCCGGAAUUAUUGGGCGUAAAGCGCGCGUAGGCGGUUUCUUAAGUCUGAUGUGAAAGCCCACGGCUCAACCGUGGAGGGUCAUUGGAAACUGGGAAACUUGAGUGCAGAAGAGGAAAGUGGAAUUCCAUGUGUAGCGGUGAAAUGCACAGAGAUAUGGAGGAACACCAGUGGCGAAGGCGACUUUCUGGUCUGUAACUGACGCUGAUGUGCGAAAGCGUGGGGAUCAAACAGGAUUAGAUACCCUGGUAGUCCACGCCGUAAACGAUGAGUGCUAAGUGUUAGGGGGUUUCCGCCCCUUAGUGCUGCAGCUAACGCAUUAAGCACUCCGCCUGGGGAGUACGACCGCAAGGUUGAAACUCAAAGGAAUUGACGGGGACCCGCACAAGCGGUGGAGCAUGUGGUUUAAUUCGAAGCAACGCGAAGAACCUUACCAAAUCUUGACAUCCUUUGAAAACUCUAGAGAUAGAGCCUUCCCCUUCGGGGGACAAAGUGACAGGUGGUGCAUGGUUGUCGUCAGCUCGUGUCGUGAGAUGUUGGGUUAAGUCCCGCAACGAGCGCAACCCUUAAGCUUAGUUGCCAUCAUUAAGUUGGGCACUCUAGGUUGACUGCCGGUGACAAACCGGAGGAAGGUGGGGAUGACGUCAAAUCAUCAUGCCCCUUAUGAUUUGGGCUACACACGUGCUACAAUGGACAAUACAAAGGGCAGCUAAACCGCGAGGUCAUGCAAAUCCCAUAAAGUUGUUCUCAGUUCGGAUUGUAGUCUGCAACUCGACUACAUGAAGCUGGAAUCGCUAGUAAUCGUAGAUCAGCAUGCUACGGUGAAUACGUUCCCGGGUCU